rnacentral:rRNA from 1 species
CUCAAAGAUUAAGCCAUGCAAAUGUAAGAAUACUGUUUUUAUAUACAGUUGUCUGUGAACGGCUCCAUAAAAAGGUUAUAGUUUAUUUGAAUGUGGAAACAUAAAACAGUUUCAAUUAUGUGGAUAUCUGUUGGAAAACAAGAGCUAAUACAUGCAAAAAGAGGUAGAAUAGAUGUAUACAUUUAUCUUCCUUGCAUUAACUAGAUAAAAAACCAAUUUAAAAAAGGUGAUACAUAGUUUACUAUGCAGAGUGAAUAGAAAUAUUCACCGCUUCAUUCAAAUUUCCUAUCUAUCAACUGAGAUUGUUCUAUAGAGGAGAACAAUGGUUAUGACGGGUAACAGGGAUUUAGGGAUCUAUUUCUGAAGAAUGAGCAUUAAAAACGGCGCAUACUUCUAAGGAAGGCAGCAGGCGCGAAAAUUACCCAAUAUAUAAUAUAUGAGGUAGCGACAAAAAAUAACAACUGGAAAAAAAAUGAGAAAAAAAGAAAAUAAUUUUUUUUUUCUCAACCAGAUUGCAAUGAAUACAGCUUAAAAAAAUUAAUAAGCAUCAACUGGAGGGCAAGCUCUGGUGCCAGCAGCCGCGGUAAUUCCAGCUCCAGUAACGUAUAUUUAAGUUGUUGUAGUUAAAAAGCUCGUAGUUGAAAGAAAAACAAAAAAAAAAUAAAAUAUUUUUAAAUAAAAUGUUUUUGUUUUUUUGUUAUAUUAUUAUAUAAAAGAUCAAUAUCAUUCUGAAAGGAAUUUGAAUAUUGUUUAAAAUCUUUAUAUAUUUUACCAUAAAUAAAAUAGAGUGUUUAAGGCAGUACAAAUAAAAUGUACAUUGAAUAAUAGAGUAUGGGAUAAUGAAAAAGGGGAGUGUUUUCUAUACAUAUAAAUAAUUUAUAUAUAGAAAUAACAUUCCAAUGAUAAAUAGGGACAAUCGGGGCAAUUUGUAUUUCUAAACGAGCGGUGAAAUGCAUAGACUUUAGAAAGACAAACAAAUGCGAAAGCAUUUUGCAAGGAUGUUUUCAUUAAUCAAGAACGAAAGUUUAGGGAUUGAAGAUGAUUAGACACCGUCGUAAUCUAAACCAUAAACAAUGUCAACAAAGGAUGGGAAAGAAAAAUAGAAUUAUUUUUAAUAAAAAAAAAAUUGUACUAAAAAGAAAAGAAAGAAUUUUUAUUUUUUCUUUUUGAAUAUUGUCUUUUCCCGUACUUUGUAAGAAAUUAAAAGUUAUCGGACUCUAGGGGGAGUAUGGUCGCAAGUCUGAAACUUAAAGGAAUUGACGGAAGGGCACCACCAGGUGUGGAUUUUGCGGCUUAAUUUGAUUCAACACGGGGAAACUUAUCAGGUCAGGACAUGUUAAGGAUUGACAGAUUGAAAGAUCUUUCAUGAUUAUAUGGGUGGUGGUGCAUGGCCGAUCUUAGUUCGUGGCAUGAGUUGUCGGCUUAAUUGCGUUAACGAACGAGACCUUUAGAGAUAAAUAGUGACGAAAAGAAUAUUGUUUUAUUAUUAUAAACAAAUAAUAAAAGAAGGAUAAAAUUCCCUUUUAUUAUAGAAUAAUUGUUUAUAAUAAAUAUUCUUUUUAUAAAAUGUCAAAAAAAAGAGAAAUAUUUUUUCUUUUUUUUUUAAAAAUGCUUCUUAUUUCGACUAUUGGUUUAAAACCAAUGUAAGUUGAAGGCAAUAUCAGGUCUGUGAUGCCCUUAGAUGUUCUGGGCUGCACGCGUAAUACAAUGGUAAAGAUCAAAGGGAAAUAAAAAAGAAAAGAAAAAUAUUUUUUUUCUUCUUUCUUUUUAAAUGCAUUCAAGAUAUUGAUUGCUAAUCCUUAUUGAAUCUUUUCAACCUUAUCUGGAAUAGAUGUUUGUAAUUUUCCAUCUUCAACUAGGAAUACCUAGUAAAUAUAAGUCAACAACUUAUAUUGAUUACGUCCCUGCCCUUUGUACACMCCGCCCGUCGCUCCUACCGAUUGAAUUGUCCGAUGAGUUGCAAGGAGAAGAGAAAGAAAAUAUUUUUUUUUUUCAUUUCAAAAUGUAACAAAUCUUACAAUUUAGAGGAAGGAGAAGUCGUAACAAGGUAACCGUAGGUGAACCUGCAGAAGGAUCA